ACUUGUUUUAAAAUUCUACUGUAAGCGUUUAUGGUUCACUUUUUUUUUCUUUGCAGCACCCGUGACUUUUUUUUCCCUCUAAAUCGGGAGUAAAUAUAGCUGAGUAAAAUUACCUUGAUUUUCUUCCUUCUUUUUUAACUGAAUUGUUUUUAUUAAAAAUCCUAUUUGAAUAUGUAGAAAAAGCGGGGAUGUCUUGUAAUAUAUCGUAGCUUUUCUUGUUUACAGGAUACUCAGAAAAUAUGUCUCCCUUAGAGUCCCACAGAAACGUUCUCAGUGCGAUCUCUAUCAAGUGCUAUGAGUCUUGAUCAAUUGGAGAAGAGCCCAAGAGAAAUUUUUCAUCCCUUGAUAUAAAAGGGAUCGGUGAAUUUUAACUUUGGAGUCCCCUAUGCUAAGGAUGCUCAGCUUACAGGUGAUGAAAUGUUCAGUAAUGGUGAGUUUUUCACCUUCUCUUUAAUUGCUAUGCUGAUCUGAAUAAGAAAAAAAAAACAAAAGCAAGAGAAAAAAAAGGAUGGUUUAUUAUUUUUUACGCUGUUAUGUUUGU